rnacentral:misc_RNA from 1 species
AAUUCUCAACCAUUCACUUUAUUGGAAUGGAUUGGAACAUGGGAUUGUGCAGGCCUUAUUUCGAGUCAGCUAUCCUUAAAUGCAUUAGCCAAAAGCCUCUAUUUUAUCUGGUGUGAUAAAUCUAUCACCAAUGACGAAACACAAUGGAGCUUGGCUUCUAAUUGUCUGUUAUAUAUACACACACAUAUAUA